AUUGAACGCUGGCGGCAGGCCUAACACAUGCAAGUCGAACGGUAACAGGAAGAAGCUUGCUUCUUUGCUGACGAGUGGCGGACGGGUGAGUAAUGUCUGGGAAACUGCCUGAUGGAGGGGGAUAACUACUGGAAACGGUAGCUAAUACCGCAUAAUGUCGCAAGACCAAAGAGGGGGACCUUCGGGCCUCUUGCCAUCGGAUGAGCCCAGAUGGGAUUAGCUAGUAGGUGGGGUAACGGCUCACCUAGGCGACGAUCCCUAGCUGGUCUGAGAGGAUGACCAGCCACACUGGAACUGAGACACGGUCCAGACUCCUACGGGAGGCAGCAGUGGGGAAUAUUGCACAAUGGGCGCAAGCCUGAUGCAGCUAUGCCGCGUGUAUGAAGAAGGCCUUCGGGUUGUAAAGUACUUUCAGCGGGGAGGAAGGGAGUAAAGUUAAUACCUUUGCUCAUUGACGUUACCCGCAGAAGAAGCACCGGCUAACUCCGUG
rnacentral:rRNA from 1 species